rnacentral:rRNA from 1 species
UCUGGUUGAUCCUGCCAGUAGUCAUAUGCUUGUCUCAAAGAUUAAGCCAUGCAUGUCUAAGUAUAAAUAGUAUACAGUGAAACUGCGAAUGGCUCAUUAAAACAGCUAUAGUUUAUUUGAUAAUUGACAAUUACAUGGAUAACCGUGGUAAUUCUAGAGCUAAUACAUGCUUAAACGCCCGACUUUAUGGAAGGGUGGUAUUUAUUAGACUGAAGCCAAUAUUCCUUGUGUCUAUUGCGGUGAUUCAUAAUAACUGAUCGAAUCUCUUUUUGAGAUAAAUCAUUCAAGUUUCUGCCCUAUCAGCUUUCGAUGGUAGUGUAUUGGACUACCAUGGCAGUAACGGGUAACGAAGAAUUAGGGUUCGAUUUCGGAGAGGGAGCAUGAGAAACGGCUACCACAUCUAAGGAAGGCAGCAGGCGCGUAAAUUACCCAAUCCUGACUCAGGGAGGUAGUGACAAGAAAUAGCAAACCGGGAACCUCAUGGUUUCACGGUAUUGCAAUGAGAACAAUUUAAAACCCUUAGCGAGAAUCAAGUGGAGGACAAGUCUGGUGCCAGCACCCGCGGUAAUUCCAGCUCCACUAGCGUAUAUUAAAGUUGUUGCAGUUAAAAAGCUCGUAGUUGAACCUCUGUCUGGGGCUAGUUUUGGCUUUGGUCAGGCUAGUUCUAGGCAUCCGCCUACAAGACUUAGAGGGCAUUCAGUUGUUCACUAGGAGGAGUAGGCAUUUUACUUUGAAAAAAUUAGAGUGUUUAAGGCAGGCAAUCGCCCGCAUAUAUUAGCAUGGAAUAAUAGAAUAGGACACUUUUCCAUUUCGUUGGUUAUUGGAAUCGUGUAAUGAUUAAUAGGGACAGUUGUGGGCAUUUGUAUUUAAUUGUCAGAGGUGAAAUUCUUGGAUUUAUUAAAGACAAACUAACGCGAAAGCAUUUGCCAAGGAUGUUUUCACUAAUCAAGAACGAAAGUUAGGGGAUCAAAGACGAUCAGAUACCGUCCUAGUCUUAACUAUAAACUAUUCCGACUCAAUGUUUGACUGGCUUAUAUAACCAGUUGAGCGUUGUAUGAGAAAUCAAAGUCUUUAGGUUCUGGGGGGAGUAUGGUUGCAAAGCUGAAACUUAAAGGAAUUGACGGAAGAGCACAACCAGGAGUGGAUUCUGCGGCUUAAUUUGACUCAACACGGGGAAACUUACCAGGUUAAAACAAUAGUGGGAUUGACAGUUUGAGAGCGCUUUCUUGAUUGGUUGGGUGGUGGUGCAUGGCCGUUCUUAGUUGGUGGAGUGAUUUGUCUGCUUAAUUGCGUUAACGAACGAGACCUUAACCUGCUUACUAGACUGGCGAUCAUC